AUGGAUUUUGUUCAGGAAAGUUACUCUUAGAUGUGAAUUCCGAAAGUUCUCGGCAAGAUGGAAUGCUCCAGGCACACCUCUCUUAGAUCCAAGUCAGGAAGCAGUAUAGUCACUGUUUUAUGGUUACAGCUGUGGAUUGAGUAUAACAACCCAGUUCUCUAAGCAAAGAAGCACAGGCCGUGUGUGCACACCAAAUGAUGAAACAAACAAACAAAAAGAAUCUCAUGGUGCCUAAGACUCACAAGGUUUUUUUUCCCCAUCCAUAUAAGCAUUCAAGGUCUACAAUCCACUUCUUUAGAGGUGGAGUGACUGGAGGGCAGCUGGGGAAGUAGGCAAUAGUCUGGGAAAACUUAUGCGAAAUAAAAGCUACUAGUCAUUAAGGUGCCACAAGGCUUAUUGUUGUUUUUGUGGAAAUAGCUUAGCGUGACUUCUCUUUUGGACAUUUAAAAAUGGUUUGGCUACAGGAUGUUGCCUUAGCUAUUAUUUAAUAAAGCUUUAAUUUGGGGCUGGGCAAGAUGCAAGGACACUCCUGAGAUUCUACAAUGCUGUAAAAACACCAGAACAAAACAGAAAAUACCCUUCUUCUUCUUCUUUUCCCUUCUGGAAAGGAAGGAGACAACCUGCUAUACUCUGGGACAAGAGGAGUCUGCCACCAGUCUGCACCAUAGAGAAGCGCCACAUAAUUGCUGCUGAAGUUGGGUGCCAAUGCAACUCCCAGCGUUGGAGGAGAAAGGCAUUAGAGCUGCUGCUGCAGAAAGUCAUGCACAGGCUUUACAUUCAUCAGAGAGACUCGUGCUGUGACCAACACUG